CCAAGCUCCCACCCCAGGUGGGAACGGGGCAGGCCGGGCGGCCUUGGACAUCCACAGGGCAAGGAGGCAAGAGAGUGGUGGCCAAGCGGGCCCCGGGAGGCCCCCCUCCUUCAGAGGCACGGGCUGGGUGGGCUUGGCCCCCUGCCCCCAUGCCCUUCCCACCCAGGAACUCCCCCUUCACAUGCUCUCCAUCUCUAGGGGGACUUGGUGCUACAGGCUGGUGCUUUCACUCUUCCUGCGGGGAGGGAGGAGGGAAGGGCAGCCCCUUAGGGAACCCCCUCCCUGGGGCUCCUCUGAAGAUGGUGCAGACACUUCCUGGGCAGUCUCGCCUCCCCCUGCCCACCAGGACCCACUUCUGGCUGCGGUCCAGUUGGUACCCAAGCAUCGAAACCCUCACGCUGGAUUGGGUCACGCCAUCUCUUGGCCUCCUUGGCCCCCCUUUCCCCGACCCAUUGCUGUUCCCCAUGUCCGAAGACUCCCCCCCACCCUGUAUUGGGAACAGCCCUCUUGCUCUUGUGGAAUUCAUUCGCCCGUCUGUCCAUCCGUCCGUCCAUCCUUGUCCUGGUUUGGCCGCCCGGCACCCCUAGCUGGCUGGGCGCCCCCAUCAUCGACUCGGUUAACCUGUCAUGGCAGCCUGGGCCCAGCCUCCACCCCAUCGCACACACCCCUAUGAAGGGGCCCCGAGCCUCUGGGUGUGAGGAGCUGUACCAGCCGGGGCCACAGGAAUCUCCCCCCCAACCUGGGUCUCCCCCCACGCAGUACUGUAUCCCCAUCCCCUCCUCGAGCCACUGUACUUCAGAGCAUUUCUCCCCUGCCCUGCCCAUCUCUAUGUGUCUCGCUGUGAUAGAUCAAUAAAUAUUUUAUUUUUUGUCCUGGA